rnacentral:rRNA from 1 species
UCUUUUCCUUUUUUUCCAGCCGCCGCGGUAAUACGUAGGUGGCGAGCGUUGUCCGGAAUUAUUGGGCGUAAAGAGCAUGUAGGCGGCUUAAUAAGUCGAGCGUGAAAAUGCGGGGCUCAACCCCGUAUGGCGCUGGAAACUGUUAGGCUUGAGUGCAGGAGAGGAAAGGGGAAUUCCCAGUGUAGCGGUGAAAUGCGUAGAUAUUGGGAGGAACACCAGUGGCGAAGGCGCCUUUCUGGACUGUGUCUGACGCUGAGAUGCGAAAGCCAGGGUAGCGAACGGG